rnacentral:rRNA from 1 species
UACGAGGGGUGCAAACGUUAUUCGGAAUCAUUGGGCGUAAAGGGUACGUAGACGGCGAAAUAAGUCAGUUAUUAAAUCUUCCAGCUCAACUGGAAACUUGUAGCUGAAACUGAUUUGCUUGAGGAUGGAAGAGAGAAGCGGAAUUCUCGGAGUAGCGGUAAAAUGCGUAGAUCUCGAGAGGAACACCGAUGGCGAAGGCAGCUUCUUGGUCCAUUUCUGACGUUGAGGUACGAAAGCGUGGGGAGCAAACAGG